GAUUCUUUACCCGUGAAGCAGUCGACCUUGGCAGGGCACUGACAUUUCUACAUCUUUUGUCUGAUUGUAUAUGUAACAGGACCCGUGAACCCUUUGAAGUUGUAACCCUUUGUUGUCUCUCUCUUUUUCCGUCUCAUUCCAAAUUCUCAUGUCAGAAAGGAAGGGUACACAAAAUGUAGAACCAUUUGUCAAUUUUCAUUUAAAAAUUAAAACGUUUACAUCUUCAUAAUUAAGCGCAUAUUAUCUAUUCCAAAAUUCAAAAACCAACUCGUCUAAAAUGCCUCUGCUUCAAAUAGUUCCGAUACCGUCUAAUCUCCCCAAAGUAGAUCGGAUCUAUGAUUACUACCCAGCACCACCCCUGCCCGAACCUGAAUUUGAUAUAGAAGUGUGGAUCGGUAUUAUUUUCUACAUCUUUGUCUUCGUUGUGGUGGUUUGGUUUAUCAUGGACAUGCUCAGCACGCCGGGAGGGGUUGACGUCCUGGCUUAUUCCCCAGGUUAUCACCACCACUACUUUUGGGGAGGUGGUCCAGCCAGAGGGGGAAUUGCGGGAAUUGGUGGCCACCCGGUUGUCGCGGGACGUCCCCACAUUCACGCAGGGUCAGGUGGUGGAUUUCACGGUGGGGGGUUGCAUUCUCAUGGGGGGUCCGUUUUCCACUCGCAUGGGUCACAUUCUCACAGUGGAGGAUCACAUUCGCAUUCUCAUGGCGGAUCACAUUCACAUUCUCAUGGACGCCGGAAACGAGACUUGACCAGUAUUGAGAAUAAAAACACUUGGAUUCAUGAACCUGAAACGAUGCAUCUUCUCGCAAAGAUUUUGUCCCUACGACCAGAAGAUUUUAACCUAUGACUUUAACAACUGGAAUCAGAACCAAUGUUAUAUCGCGAGGGCUUUGAGUUCUGCUGGAUAUUUUCAACUACUUAUGUACACAUUAUCAAGAAAUAAACUUUGUUACACUUUUUGUUCCGAUGAUUUCAUCCACUCUACAUACAUACACUUCACUAGAUUCAUACACCCGGGUAUUACAUAACCCGGUGAAAUCAUUGCAUCCUUGUAUCGAUCUUAUUCAAAUCCAGAGACAGGCGAAUUUCGAGCUGUACAAAGGCGGAAAGAAAGACUUCAGCAUGUGCAGAAUUCGUGUUGCAAUAAUUGUAACUUAACAGUUACGCAGGAGUUCAAUAUUCUAAUAUUCCCAUAUAAAAAGGAAGUCCAAAAUUUUAUCAUAGUGCAGCAUACAUAUUUAUUAUGUGCAUUAGUGCAAAGUGUAUUGUGAAUCGAUUAUUUUUGCGAAGAAAUAAUGCAUACUUCUUGUUUAUGAGAAAUCCGACACUUUUAUAGCUUCUGUUGCAUAUUGCAUCAUCUCACUCAUGGCAGAGCAGGGGUCAAGUUACGAAAAGUGAAGCAGUCCAGUACCAACCAUUCAUCAUCACCAGUCUAGUAAUAAAAUGGUCUCGAGUUACAUCUUGUCAUCAUAAAUUCAUUAGUUAAGGUAGUUAUUCGAGAUAAACGUGAUAUGCAAUCCAGUCUUCCCAUGCUACUUUAUCCACCAUGUACAUAUUUAAGUAGGAUAAAUACAUAUCUGCGUAAUUAAGUUUAGUUCUUGGAAAAUGAAUCAUUAAAUUUAUUUCUCAACAGUGCAGCCUUAGUCUACCUUCUCAUCCUGACUGGAUGGUACAUAUUUAGUUAGUUACACUUAUACCGGCACUUCUUUUUUUACGUAAUUAUUAUUUGUCUCCUUUAAAAUAUACGUUCUUCAAUUACCUUCGAACUCUUAAAAUGGCCACGCUUAAAGUGACGACCUUACUCGUGGUGGUUAUGCUGCUGCCCUUGUUGACCAACUCCAUCCAAGUGAACGUAGACUACAGUGACCCCCGUUACGACAAAAUGUUGAACACCUGCAUUGACAGCAAGAACCAUAAAGUUAAACCUGGGCCGGAAGAUAAAUUGCAUAAUCAGUGCUCCCCGUGGAAGCGUCGAAGUUGCUGUACCCAUCAAACCACUCAUGACGCUCAUCACACCAAAAUGUACAAUUUCGACUGGAAUCACUGCUCACAGAAGAAAAAUUUAUCCGAUAAAUGUCGUCGACAUUUCAUUCAGGAUCUUUGCUUUUACGAAUGCUCGCCAAACAUGGGUCCAUGGACGGUGAAAGUAA